UGAACGCUAGCGAUAGGCUUAACACAUGCAAGUCGAGGGGCAGCAUGGUCUUAGCUUGCUAAGACUGAUGGCGACCGGCGCACGGGUGCGUAACGCGUAUGCAACUUGCCUCACAGAGGGGGAUAACCCGUCGAAAGACGGACUAAUACCGCGUACACUCCAUCUUGGGCAUCCAAGGUAGAGGAAAUGAAAUUCGCUGUGAGAUAGGCAUGCGUCCCAUUAGCUAGUUGGUGAGGUAACGGCUCACCAAGGCGACGAUGGGUAGGGGAACUGAGAGGUUGAACCCCCACACUGGUACUGAGACACGGACCAGACUCCUACGGGAGGCAGCAGUGAGGAAUAUUGGUCAAUGGGCGAGAGCCUGAACCAGCCAAGUCGCGUGAAGGAUGACUGUCUUAUGGAUUGUAAACUUCUUUUAUACGGGAAUAACAAGAGUCACGUGUGACUCCCUGCAUGUACCGUAUGAAUAAGCAUCGGCUAACUCCGUG
rnacentral:rRNA from 1 species